UGCCAGUUAUUGAACUGUCGCAGGCCCAGCCUGAGAGUUGCAGGUGAGUUAUGUCAAACCAGCAGAUCGCACAGCUUUGCUGGCGAUGGGCUGCUCGAGUUUCUGACCUAUCAGCUUCCGACGCUAGAGUCUUGGCCUACCGUGGCAAUGACGGGUGACGGAGAAUUAGGGUUUGAUUCCGGAGAGGGAGCCUGACAAAUGGCUACCACAUCUAAGGAAGGCAGCAGGCGCGCAAAUUACCCAAUUUUGACAAAAGGAGGUAGUGACAAGAAAUAACAAUAUGGGGCAUCCAUGUCCUGUAAUUGGAAUGAGCAUAACCCAAACCAUUGUGUGAGUAUCCAUUGGAGGGCAAGUCUGGUGCCAGCAGCCGCGGUAAUUCCAGCUCCAAUAGCAUAUAUUAAAGCUGCUGCGGUUAAAAAGCUCGUAGUUGGAUCUGCGGUCAUUGACACUGGUUUCCUUCACGGAAUACUGGUUGUCGUGACCUACCUCGCUGGUUUUCCCUUGGUGCUCUUCAUUGAGUGCCCUGGGUGGCUAGCACGUUUACUUUGAAAAAAUUAGAGUGCUUAAUGCAGGCGU
rnacentral:rRNA from 1 species